rnacentral:siRNA from 1 species
GAACUAAAAUAUAAGCCUACCUGC